GGGCUGAUAUCAAAGGCAUUUCGGUUUAUUUAUUUAGCCACUUGCAAUAGAUGCUGUGUUGUCAGCUCCAGGAGCUGAAGUCCCUUAUUUAUGUGCCUGGAUUUCCCUGUGUCAUUCUGCCAGCGUGGCUCAGCCCUGAUCUGGUUUCCACACUCAUUCAGUACUUGCUGAAAUAGUCACCUAGGGAGUAAACACUGCCAGCCACGGCCGUGCUUUCUGAGAUAUGGAGCCCAGCCCAGUCAGAAGUUUGCCAAGAUAACCUCCUUGCAUCAUGUGCCAAAGAGCCUCAAACAGCUGGAGCAUUGAAGGACUGUGACAUUUAAACAAGAUACUGAAAAUGCAAGUGGUGGCUUCUGGUGAGAAGCAAGGACAGUGUGGAGCCUGAAGGUAAACAGCGAAUGUACCUGAAGAAUGUACCUGGAUGCAUUCUAGUCCUGUGAGUGUGUGCAUCUGUCAUAAGUGUGUCACUUGCUAAGAGUCAAAAUAAGGAUGACAUGGAAAAAGAAAAGCCAAUACCUGAGUCUUUUUACAGCUAAUGAGAUGAGACUGAAUACAGUGGAGAGAGAAAUCUUUUCCUAAGGAACAAAUGGAUGCUCUCCUGAGAACAUCCAAUCUUCUGCAGAAUCACCCAGCAUAUGUGGAAGCAGACUUCAUGAACUAAAAUCUCUUCAGAACUGGCUCAACAUUUGAAAUUCUGCAUGUUGCCAAGUUCGUGGAAAAUUACUGGUACUUGGUAAUUCUGGCUUACUGCAUGGUACAAGAGCCACUGCUGUCCUUCUCACUUUGGAACUCCCAGCUCACUUUGUCUUCCUGAAAGCAGGCUUGGCUGUUCUGCCUCUCACAGACCAGCACAGAUCUGUUUUCUCUGAGCCACUGUGAAACAUGCUGCUUCACUUCAUACACACUUCCAGAAAUAAAGGCAGGCGAAUCCUGAUGUGAUGUUCUGAUAGAGCAUAUGCACUCAAUUCAUCCUACUUCCUAAAUCAAAAACUUGCAGGAUUUUUUUGGCUAUACAAAGGGAAGAGUAUAGUUGGUGGACUGACUAGACGACAGCCAGUUAGGGAGGCAAAGACUGACAAAAAAGAAAUGCACUGUCAGAUUUUUCUUUAAAACUGCAGUACAAAGGGAACUGGGAGACAGUUUCAGCAGAAGAGAUGAAGACAGACAAAUGGCUUUAAACUCAGUAGAACAGUAGGCAAGGUAAAAGGUUAAUUAUUCCUUUGGUGGAAGUUAGAGUCCCUGAAUUAUUGGGAGCAACUUCAUCUCCUCCCUAGAAGCAAUUCCUGGAUUUAGUAAUUUCUGCUCCCCCUGGGUUCAGUUAUGGCACUGCUCCAUGCUCACUGCUUGGCUUCCCACCAGCCCCAGGCUUCCCAAAGUGGAAGGAAGUAAUUUCUGCUGCGUCCAGCCAUAGGAAAUUAAGAGUUUGGCAUGGCAUUUUAGUUUACAAGAAGUCUGAAUAAGAGAAGCAACACAUCUCUACAACCGCAGGACAUCACAGCCUGGAGCAUGGUGUCAGAGCAAGGCCAAGAGAUGGGAAGGUGGAAGAGGUUAUAUUCCCUCACAGAGACAGAUUUAGGAAACAGGCUGCACGCCUAUUUCUUAUAGUGAGUAAUUAACACAGAUCACAAGAAAAGACAGCAGCAAUGGGCAGCAGAGCUUGCUGGAGUUUCUGACACUUGUUUUGUCAAUGAGCUGUGGCUUUAACAGCCAUUCCAAACAAACCAUGCUGGACAGCAUAUGGCAUACCCCAGGUGUUUGUGUACCUGUAGGAACUUUUCUCCUAAUUUCAAAAGUCGUGGAAGUUACAAGGUAUCCUUUUCAACCUUGUUUCUAGAAGGCAUAGUUCCUGGUAAGAGGGCACACUUUGGAGAUAAGCAGGAUAACUCCAAACAUAUUACAACUAGCCUUUCAAAAUCUCAAGGAUAUGAACUACUGGGGACAGUGGAGAAACUGCUGGGAGAUUUCUACAAGAAAAGACUUCAUUUGGCUUGAACUGUAAAAAAAUCCAACACAGUCACUGGAGUCAGCCAUGCUGCUGCUUUUGAGGUGACUGAUAAGAAAAAUCCUGACAAUCUUAGAGCUAAACCUUUCUCUUGAGUGCCCCUGCAUAAAAGAUGUGAAGUUUCAUAAUAAGAUAGUGAUAAUUCUUAUUUUUAUUAUGAGCUUUGCAAUAUUUGAUAUUUGUUUAUAGACCAGCUCCCAGAAUCAAAGGAUUAGGUGAAAGUCUGUUUUAAUUAAGAAACAAAGGUUUUCUUCAGAUUUUUCUGCCCACUUUGUGAGAUGCUGGGAGGAAGCAUAUCACUUUUCUUUCAUGGUAAUCAUGAGAUGCUCUGUGCUGACUUAUUCAGCCAUGCUACUCAGUUUUAUGCUAGGUAACAUUCUGAUGAUUAUCUUUACACUUUGGAGAUGUAAUGCUGCAUUAUCUUACUAAAUAAAAGAUUAAAUCAA